GAUAAAUCUGUAUUUUAUUAGCUAUCCUGCAUUUGGGUCUUUUUAGCCUUUGAAGACACCCCGGUACCCUGACAUUGAGUUAUUCUAUCAAUAUAUAUUUUCUGAAUUUACCCUCAAAUGUUUAUCACAAUAAAUCUGUCAUUUUUACACAUUAUUCUUUCUGUGCUGUAGUCAGAGAGUCUAGUUUAGUGACCUGUGUAUGUUUUAGUACUCCAAAAACUGAGGAAGUGUGUGUUUCUGAUUAAAACUGGUCCAUGUGACCAUCAGAAUACAUGUUACAGCUAAUAGACCAAUCAAAUCAGUCCACAGCUUCAAAUCAUCCAAUCAGGUGUGAGUCUGGACCUGGUUUUGUACUGAACACACAAGUUCAUUAGAUCACUUGGUGUGAACAGGAACGAUGAUCAGACUCUUUGUCGCUCUUUGUGCUCUUUUUUCUCUCUUCACAGCUGAGAAAACUUCUGACAUCAAGGAGAUUGAUGUGAUAACAGUAAAGCGUGGAGAAGAUGUAACUAUGGAGUGUAGCACUAACAGUGUCACGAAGAAAGAUAUUAUAGUUUGGUACAGACAGAUUUCAGGACAAUUACCUCAGUAUUUUGCAAAACCAUACAAGAGCGAAUUGGGCUACAAAUUUGCUCCAGGAUUUAAUGAUGAUCGCUUCAGUAUUAGUGUAAAUAACAAUAAAUUUGAGCUCAAUGUUAACAAAACAAGAGAAGAUGAUGAAGGAGAAUAUUUCUGUGGAGAAAUGGAAGGAACUGUACUGAAGUUCACAUCUGGAACACGUCUGCAAUUUGAAGGUGAGAGCUGUACUGCUAACAUGCGUGUGUUCUUCUGGCUCUCCAUUUCAAGAAUUGGAGUUCUCAGUGUUACAGUUAUUAUAAUUACAAUAUGGUACAAGGUUUUAAAGUCAAGAUCUUAAACUUGAUAUAAUUGUCUAUUAACUGUUGUUUGUGUCACUCUAACUGUAAUGCAAGUGUGGUAUAUACCUAACUGUAGCUGUAUUUAAAAAGGAAAUGAGAUCUGAGGUUGUGUUUAGACCCCUCUAGGAGAAAGCACAAGUGGUGCAUUUCCUUUUUAUACCAAAAAUGACAGUCCACUGGUGUGUGUGUGUGUGUGUGUGUGUGUGUGUGUGUGUGUGUGUGUGUGUGUGUGUGUGUGUGUGUGUGUGUGUGUGUGUGUGUGUGUGUGUGUGUGUGUGUGUGUGUGUGUGUGUGUAUGUGUGUGUGUGUGUGUGUGUGUGUGUGUGUGUGUGUGUGUAUGUGUGUGUGUGAGAAAGGUUAGAGGCUGAAACAGAAACUAGUUAAAUUCUGAAGCUAACUGCGAGUCGUACAAUGUGUAUGUAGUAGCAGAUAGAUUACACUGAUGGUUUUUAGUUCUCUUUCUCACUGUCACAUCCUCUGCUUAACAAAAUGUCAGCUUAUAAUUUACAGAUAUGAUUCUAGAGAAGUGUAAGAAAGACAACUGAGAAUAGAAUGAAAAGAGUAGAGUAGAAUGAAAAGCUUACAGAUAAACAGUAGAUAUAUUUAAAAGACAGACUUUACUGAAAGUAUCGUAACCAGUAACAGAAGAAAAAUCACACCGUGUGCUGUUUAUUAGUUAUAUGAAGAAAAGUAAGAGUGCCACCUCGUCUGAAUGAUCUACCUUUAAAUCCCACAUCUUGGUUUUAUGUAAUGUCAAAGCUAAAACAAAUAUAAAACAUUUCACCUAUUUUAUUUUUAUUUGGUUUUUAGUAAAUAACGAAUUCUGUUCAGAAGUAUUGUGUUGUAAAGACACGAGUACAAGUGUGUUUUGUAUGAGAUUAUGCUUACGUGUGUGUGUGUGUGUGUGUGUGUGUGUGUGUGUGUGUGUGUGUGUGUGUGUGUGUGUGUGUGUGUGUGUGUCAGCCUGGGAAAAC